UCACAAUCCGUUUCAAUCCUUGUCAUCUUUGGCAAUAUGCUUGUAUUAAGACACUAUUACAGUCAUUUGUGAAGUAUACUACGCUAUUGUGAUGUUUUUGGCGCUUUUGUCUGUAUGGAAAGUUAACUGAUACGAAUAUUGUUAGAUCAUGCUGUGUGAUCUGACAAGCUGUUUGUCUUGCAUUCAAAUAUCCACUCUUAAACAUUAGCUUAUCUUGUGCAACAUCUUUAGGAGUAAAAAAAUAAAUAACCUUAAGGUUUAUCGAGUCUGAAGUGUAAUUUACCAGCACAAUUAUUUCAAACAUAAUUUAACACCUGCUGCUGUUUAGCUUAGCAGCUAGCUAAUGCUCUCUAGCUUGCUAUUGCCCUGUAAUGCCCCACAUGUUACUCAAAAUAUGUAUUAUAUUUUUUGUAAUGGGCGUCACUAUUGGCCAGUCCUGAAUAUCACCUUUGAAAAGCCAUGUUUGCCGAUAUUAUGAGAAAAGGUUCAUCUCUGUUUUUCAACUUCACAGAUGGUUACCCCCUGUGCUAGUGGAAGAUGUGACUUUGAAGACAGUCAUUGUAAAAGGUGCAAAAGGCUUGUCUAAGAUAAGCUGGCAGUCUACACCGCAUGGCCUGCGUUGCUGACAUUAAGUGAAGUUAAUGCAGAGUUCCUGUGCCUGACAGAUACUUGAGGAAGCAUCUUGGAGGUUGUCAAGGAGAAGGGAGGCGUUGCCAGAAGGAAGGACUGGAGUGGCGAAGUGAUCCAAAGGCAGACUGCACAUCUACGUAUAUGGUUUGCAAGGAACAUCCCGUGCCAGAGACUGUGAUACAAGGCAUGGAGCUGUACAGUGAACUCGGAGCAUCUCUUGUGCAUGUGUGAUGCUGUUUGGACUCGGUUACCGGUAUAUACCCUCAAUCUCAACUCUGUGGAUUUGGAUUUACAAUUUUAAGUAUCCAGAUGAACUGAAAUAUAUGUUCU